AAUCACUUGUAAUAUAAUGAUUG
rnacentral:snRNA from 1 species